GUAUGCUGGUACGUCACAGACAAAGGCCUUAGCAGGACCGUGAAAGCCCGCCCCCUUACCUUUGUCUGUUCGCCUGAUUGCACGGUUCUCACCCCGGCGCCUUCGAUUGGACAGGGCUUCAGUUCUCAUCCGGCUCAGACCCUGACUGACAGAAGCUGGCACCAAUCCAUGAGUGGAUAAAGCAAGACGCCAAACUUUAUUCCCACCGUUUAAAAAAAAAAAAAGACAACUUCUCGAUCCUCAAGGUAUAGCAUCCUGCGCCCAUCGCCAACCGAACGCUUGCAUUUAGCCUUGUACUAGGGCUGUGGUAUCGCCCUAGGGUCUGCAUCGAGUUCCUCUUCUCUGCCAAGUGAGACAGGACUAGCACCGCAGGUAGCGGCAGAAAAAAAAAUUCAGACACAGUAGGCAGCAGCAACAGGUGAAGGCAGGUACAAGAUAGAACGAGGCCUGUCAUUGGAUGAGAAGGAAGGAUGGGCGGGAGAAAACUUUGAGGGAAGAGGAGACUGGAACAGGAGGAGGAAGCUGUGGAGAGAACAUGGAGGCUGAUAUAAAGAUUCCACUCUGCGUAUUUACAGGUUGUUAUGAAUAUUCUUAAGGGAUGGAUGUGCACAGGUGUAUGUUUGUAUGUUUAGGUGGGAAAUUAUACCUUAUUAAUCGGAUCAGAGGUUAUUAUGUUAUGUGUUCUUUCAUGUAGUGAUUUUAGUUUAAGAGAGUAUGUGGUGGCUGGAGACUCUGGCCCGCCACAGAGUUGGGAUGUGUGUUUCUGGCAUGAUGACAGCCUGCCUUGGGAACUAGAUGGGUAGAGAGAUUGUUGCCAGGCUCAAAGAGAAGCCUUUGGCAGUGUGAUAUGGCAUGGAGCAGAGUGGGUGAGAGGCUUUGCUGACUGAGAUAAAGAUAUCUACCAGAUAUCUUGGAGCACAGUGGUGCCGGACCCAGUUGGGGAUAAAAGACAGCCAUUUUUUAUAAGUUUACAGCAACACUGACACUCAACCAGAAAACGUAGUCCUCACUGAAUAAGGUGAGUCUGGAACCAGUUUGAACAUGCUGUUCCAAUUCCCAUUAACUCUGGGGCCUUGAUCCUUCCUUGCCGUGCUAGGCAGUGAAUGCUGCUGCUGAAAAAAGCAGCAAAAGCAAAAGGAAGUCAUCAAGAUGUGGGGUGAGAGCCAGGUUACCAUGCCUAGUCCAAUGGCUCCACUCGUGGUCACUUGUGCGGGAGCACGGUGUACACAGAAUCCCUCUUAGGUUGGUAAAUUCAACCACUCCAGGGGAUGAAGGACAAGGGACUUGCCAGAGGGCAGUCUGUCGAGGAGGCACGAGUGCUUUGUGAGGUGUCUAAACCAUCUUCUUUUUGCUCUGUAGAUGAGUAGCCACGUAUCUUCAACUAUGGCCGUACCCUAACCUUGAAAAACACGUGAUAUUUAUCUGUAUUUUGAACCUGGCCCAAUUAUCAAUUGUAAUAUAAAAACUGACCUGUGGCAGGACUAUAGAGAUGGCUCAGCAGUAAGAACACCUGUUGCUCUGCAGAGGAUCUUAAUUUGAAUUCCAGCACUUCCAUGGCUGAUCAAAGACCAUCCAAUACCAGAGUACCCAACACUCUCUCCGACCUCUGGGAUAAGCAGGCAUGUAUAUCACGUACAUACUUACAUGCUAGCAAAACAUAAAAGAAGUAAAUAUAAAAUAAAUUCCCAGCAAGAAAAAAAAUCAACCAUAAUAUUAUAGUGUCUUACAACUUUAAUUUUUUUCCUUAUGGAGGAGGGCCAAAGGCUUAGAUCUUUCAAAACUUACUUUAAUACAUGGGUUCUUAAAAACUUUCUAGCCCACCACUCAACAGAGGUAAUGAAUGGGGAGGAAAGGUUAGUAGUAUAAAGGGGGAUGUCGGCCUGUUUAGAAAUGGUUCUUUUGGGCGAUUCCAGUCUGUGGGGAAGCAGUAAGAAGCCGCCGGGAUGUCACGAUGGUUUCUUUGGUGCAUUUUUCUCUAUGAAAUCACGACAAACAACGAUCAGCAAAGAAGACAAGGAGAACCAACCUCACAGCUUGUUCAGCAAAACACAGCAUCAGCAAGGGCCAGUGAAGACCGGCACAGAGUGGUUGGGUGAGCCAAUGCCCCACUGUUGUCCACUGUCUGUUGGGAUCUACUUAUACCCUUUCCAAACAUCACGUCCUCUCGAGCGUCCACUCCAGCAAAAUGCCACAGGCCCUUUUCUCAGGAAACUUCCAGAAAAAAAGGCCACAUGUCUGGUCUCAGCAAAACAUCCUCUCCUGUGUCUGCUUCAGCAAAGCAUCCUAUCCUAAGACAGUUUCCAGAAAAACAUCACAUGACACAAUUGAGUCUCCGAAGAAAUGUAAGUUUCCACUUCAGAGGGUGCUUGCUUAUUAAACUCGUUAGGACUGCUUUUAAGCAGCCAGACAGCCUCAAGUCUGGCCAGGAGGAUCUCAAGUUAGGCACAGGAAAUGAUUGAUUUCCCUUGACCAUCAGUGCCAUCUGCUACAUUUGCGUUAUUUUAUGAACUUUUUUUUUCUUUUGGUUCUUUUCUUUUUCGGAGCUGGGGACCGAACCCAGGGCCUUGCGCUUCCUAGGUAAGCGCUCUACCACUGAGCUAAAUCCCCAGCCCCCUAUUUUAUGAACUUAAAAGAAGCAAAGGAUGACCUUUCAAAAUAAAUUAAGUGCUCCCACUCUGAUGUCCUUUUCUUGUUUCUGGAUUAAAAGGGAAAAAAAUUCACAC